AUUGAACGUUGGCGGCAUGCCUUACACAUGCAAGUCGAACGGUAACAAGUCUUCGGAUGCUGACGAGUGGCGAACGGGUGAGUAAUGCAUCGGAACGUGCCCAGUUGUGGGGGAUAACUGCUCGAAAGAGCAGCUAAUACCGCAUACGACCUGAGGGUGAAAGCGGGGGAUCGCAAGACCUCGCGCAAUUGGAGCGGCCGAUGUCAGAUUAGGUAGUUGGUGGGGUAAAGGCCUACCAAGCCGACGAUCUGUAGUUGGUCUGAGAGGACGACCAGCCACACUGGGACUGAGACACGGCCCAGACUCCUACGGGAGGCAGCAGUGGGGAAUUUUGGACAAUGGGCGCAAGCCUGAUCCAGCAAUGCCGCGUGCAGGAAGAAGGCCUUCGGGUUGUAAACUGCUUUUGUCAGGGAAGAAAUCCUCUGGGUUAAUACCCCGGGGGGAUGACGGUACCUGAAGAAUAAGCACCGGCUAACUACGUGCCAGCCGCCGCGGUAAAAC
rnacentral:rRNA from 1 species